rnacentral:lncRNA from 1 species
GUGACUAUUGGUUCAGAAUUUUGGGGUCUCAGAUGACUUUGGGUUUCAGAUGAAUUUGUGGUUCCGAGUUCAAGCCGAAGCUUUGAUCCUGUGUUCUAAGAGAUACAGCCAACCAGUCGUGUCUGCAUCAUUUGCAUCAUAGCAUAUUUAUUUUUCAAAAGAAACGCAAAAAAAAGAUACAAAAAAAAGAAAAAGAAGGGAAAGAAAAAAAACUAAUCCCUGCAUGCAUAUCAUUUCUCAGGUACAUUCCAGAGCUUG